CACGUAGUUAGCCGUCCCUUUCUGGGUAGUUACCGUCACUUGAUGAGCCUUCCACUCUCACCAACGUUCUUCUCUACCAACAGAGUUUUACGAUCCGAAAACCUUCUUCACUCACGCGGCGUUGCUCGGUCAGACUUUCGUCCAUUGCCGAAGAUUCCCUACUGCUGCCUCCCGUAGGAGUUUGGGCCGUGUCUCAGUCCCAAUGUGGCCGAUCACCCUCUCAGGUCGGCUAUGUAUCAUCGCCUUGGUGAGCCUUUACCUCACCAACUAGCUAAUACAACGCGGGAUCAUCUUUGAGUGAUGCAAUUGCAUCUUUACAAAACUUUAAAACUUGUUAGUUUUAAAGUUUUUAUGGUCGGUUAUUAAGCUAAUUUCGUUUACCAAAUUGUUUCGUCCCCCGUCUCGAAAGGCAGACUUCCCCCACGUCGUUACUCACCCGUUCGCUCGCUCAUCCAGUUGGUACAAGUACCAACCUUCAGCGCUCAACUUGCUAU
rnacentral:rRNA from 1 species